AACAAAAGAUUUGUCGGCAACAUCUCCGUAAUCCUCUUUCUCAUCAUCGUCGGUCCCACAGCAGUCGUGGUGGCCCUGUCUUUCUGGUCAUCCAGCAAAGAGGAAGCCACGGAGCUGACCGAGCUUUCUUCCCCAAGUUACCUCAAAAUCUCCCUUCCUGCACCUGCGCCGCGGCCAUCCCGACCACCUGCGACAAGAACGACCCUAACACCUACUACGAAGAAGCCCAAGACCCACGACGACAUGCUUCUUUGCGUCGUGGGACGCCGCGCUGUCUCGCAGAGCAUGUUUCCUCCGGAUGGCGUGUGCAGCCACACGUU